rnacentral:rRNA from 1 species
AUUGAACGCUGGCGGCAUGCCUUACACAUGCAAGUCGAACGGCAGCACGGGUGCUUGCACCUGGUGGCGAGUGGCGAACGGGUGAGUAAUACAUCGGAACAUGUCCUGUAGUGGGGGAUAGCCCGGCGAAAGCCGGAUUAAUACCGCAUACGAUCUACGGAUGAAAGCGGGGGACCUUCGGGCCUCGCGCUAUCGGGUUGGCCGAUGGCUGAUUAGCUAGUUGGUGGGGUAAAGGCCUACCAAGGCGACGAUCAGUAGCUGGUCUGAGGGGACGACCAGCCACACUGGGACUGAGACACGGCCCAGACUCCUACGGGAGGCAGCAGUGGGGAAUUUUGGACAAUGGGCGAAAGCCUGAUCCAGCAAUGCCGCGUGUGUGAAGAAGGCCUUCGGGUUGUAAAGCACUUUUGUCCGGAAAGAAAUCCUUGGCCCUAAUACGGUCGGGGGAUGACGGUACCGGAAGAAUAAGCACCGGCUAACUACGUG